rnacentral:lncRNA from 1 species
GGGGCCCACCAUCAACAAAUUUAUACCAUCACCAUAAAUACAUACACACAAUACUGAUAAAGAAAGAAGAAGGGACCAGAGAUCCUCCAUUGUUUCUUUGCCAUUAACACACUAGACAGAAUUUUCAUUUUUCUUUCCUCUUCUAAAAACAACAGAAUACAUAUACACACACCACCAUAUCUCCUUGACCGAAUAUACCUACCCACCUGGGGACUUCACCGA